GGGGGCGUUCUGGUUUCGACAGGUUAUAUUUGUAAAUGUUAUAAGCGUACAGGAUUAUACUGAAUCCUAAAAUCGGUAAAACAAAUAAAUGACAACGAUUUAGUUGCAAUGGCUGCCUAGUUCAGCCACGGGUGCUACAAAAGGUUGACUGGUUUGUAGGCUUGUUAAAGUAAAGUCAAGCGAAACUUUCUUUUUCAAGAUUGGGAAAGUUUUUUAAAAUAAAUUUUGAUAGUCAAAAAACAUUUUGUCUGUUUCAUGUUCAUGGCGAAAUCCUUUGAAAUUGACUUUUGUACGGAGAAGGGCAUUUAUGGAUUUUCUUGGACGCGAGUUCGACUCUCGCCGCCUCCACCA
rnacentral:tmRNA from 1 species